AGUCAGAGAAAGAACUGCAGCACGCUAGAAGAAGUCGGGGAUGAAACUUGGUGGACUUCAGAGGUCCAUCUACUGGCCUUUCAGUCUUGACCUGCAAUUGUCUAUCUUCUCCUGAACCUGGAGGAAAUGAGCUGAUUGAAAAUUUUGUUUCUCUCAUCCUGAAAACAGUCAGCAUCUUCAAGGAGGAAAGACUAGACACUGACAAUUCACUGCUGGGUGAACUGCGAGCGGAACACCUCUUCAAGAUGCUUUGUGGUGGAAACCAAGACAAAGGCGGUGAAGAAGGAGGGCUACCCUUUGGCAUCACUUAUUGUUGGAAUAAAGGAAAAAAGCACCCGGAUUUCUGGAGAAACGACUUUCUAAAUGGACAGGUUCUUAUGAUGCUGACAGCUCACAAGCCCCGUGGUUGUCCUCCUGUCAUCAUGAAUUCUUGGCAAGAAAAACUGAAAACGUUGGGAAUAGAGGUGACAGAAGACCAGUGGGAAACUUUGAUACAACGAGCUGUGCUGGAGCCAGAAAUGAGAACGUAUCUAUUGUACAACUCCAGAGGAAUAAGGAUGGGCAUUGCUGCAGUAAGAACCCUAUACAACU